CCAAUAGCGUAUAUUAAAGUUGUUGUGGUUAAAAAGCUCGUAGUUGAACCUUGGGCCUGGCUGGCCGGUCCGCCUCACCGCGUGUACUGGUCCGGCCGGGCCUUUCCCUCUGUGGAACCUCAUGCCCUUCACUGGGUGUGACGGGGAAGCAGGACUUUUACUGUGAAAAAAUUAGAGUGCUCCAAGCAGGCCUAUGCUCGAAUACAUUAGCAUGGAAUAAUAAAAUAGGACGUGCGGUUCUAUUUUGUUGGUUUCUAGGACCGCCGUAAUGAUUAAUAGGGACAGUCGGGGGCAUCAUGAUUCAAUUGUCAGAGGUGAAAUUCUUGGAUGUAUUGAAGACUAACUACUGCGAAAGCAUUUGCCAAGGAUGUUUUCAUUAAUCAGGAACGAAAGUUAGGGGAUCGAAGACGAUCAGAUACCGUCGUAGUCUUAAUCAUAAACUAUGCCGACUAGCAAUUUGCUUUGUAUUUUUUAUGACUAAGUGAGAGGCCACG
rnacentral:misc_RNA from 1 species